UAGGCCUGCAACAAAUGACUUCUCUCCUGU
rnacentral:piRNA from 1 species